rnacentral:rRNA from 1 species
CCUACGGGAGGCAGCAGUGAGGAAUAUUGGUCAAUGGCCGGAAGGCUGAACCAGCCAUGCCGCGUGAAGGUCAGUGCCCUAUGGGCGUUAAACUUCUUUUGUUCGGGAACAAUAAUGGUCACGUGUGGCCAGACGAGAGUACCGUACGAAUAAGCAUCGGCUAACUCCGUGCCAGCAGCCGCGGUAAUACGGGGGAUGCAAGCGUUAUCCGGAUUUAUUGGGGUUAAAGGGUGCGUAGGCUGUGAGGUCAGUCAGCGGUGAAAUGCCGCCGCUCAACGGGGUGAAGUGCCAUUGAUACUGCCUUGCUGGAAUGAGGAUGAGGUAGGAGGAAUGCGUGGUGUAGCGGUGAAAUGCAUAGAUAUCACACAGAACACCGAUUGCGAAGGCA